rnacentral:rRNA from 1 species
GACGAACGCUAGCGGCGUGCUUAACACAUGCAAGUCGAACGGUGAAGCAGAGCUUGCUCUGUGGAUCAGUGGCGAACGGGUGAGUAACACGUGAGUAACCUGCCCUUGACUCUGGGAUAAGCGUUGGAAACGACGUCUAAUACCGGAUACGAGCUGAGACCGCAUGGUCAUCAGUUGGAAAGAUUUUUUGGUCAAGGAUGGACUCGCGGCCUAUCAGCUUGUUGGUGAGGUAAUGGCUCACCAAGGCGACGACGGGUAGCCGGCCUGAGAGGGUGACCGGCCACACUGGGACUGAGACACGGCCCAGACUCCUACGGGAGGCAGCAGUGGGGAAUAUUGCACAAUGGGCGCAAGCCUGAUGCAGCAACGCCGCGUGAGGGAUGACGGCCUUCGGGUUGUAAACCUCUUUUAGUAGGGAAGAAGCGAAAGUGACGGUACCUGCAGAAAAAGCACCGGCUAACUACGUG